GAUGAAGAACGUAGCGAAAUGCGAUAAGUAAUGUGAAUUGCAGAAUUCAGUGAAUCAUCGAAUCUUUGAACGCACAUUGCGCCCGCCAGUAUUCUGGCGGGCAUGCCUGUUCGAGCGUCAUUUCCACCAUCAGGCCCCCGGGCCUGUGUUGGGGACCUGCGGCUGCCCGCAGGCCCCGAAAUUCAGUGGCGGUCGCGCCGUAGCAACCGAGCGUAGUAACUAAAACGUCUCGCUCUGGCUCGCUGGGCGCGCUCCAGCCGUAAAACACCCCCCCUUUUCGCAAAGGUUGACCUCGGAUCAGGUAGGAAUACCCGCUGAACUUAAGCAUAUCAAUAAGCGGAGGA
rnacentral:misc_RNA from 1 species